rnacentral:rRNA from 1 species
GACGAACGCUGGCGGCAUGCCUAAUACAUGCAAGUCGAACGCUGAAGCACUCUGCUUGCAGAGUGCGGAUGAGUGGCGAACGGGUGAGUAACACGUGGGAAAUCUGCCUAUAAGAGGGGGAUAACAUUCGGAAACGGAUGCUAAUACCGCAUAUAUUCUUGGACCGCCUGGUCCUUGAAAGAAAGACGGCUUUGCUGUCGCUUAUAGAUGAUCCCGCGGCGUAUUAGUUAGUUGGUGGGGUAAAGGCCUACCAAGACAAUGAUGCGUAGCCGACCUGAGAGGGUGAUCGGCCACACUGGGACUUGGACACGGCCCAGACUCCUACGGGAGGCAGCAGUAGGGAAUCUUACACAAUGGGCGAAAGCCUGAUGGAGCAAUGCCGCGUGAAUGAAGAAGGUCUUCGGAUCGUAAAGUUCUGUUAUUAGAGAAGAACAAGUCAAGGAGUAACUGUCUUGACUUUGACGGUACCUAACCAGAAAGUCACGGCUAACUACGUG